rnacentral:rRNA from 1 species
UACGUAGGGUGCGAGCGUUAAUCGGAAUUACUGGGCGUAAAGCGUGCGCAGGCGGUGAUGUAAGACAGAUGUGAAAUCCCCGGGCUCAACCUGGGAACUGCAUUUGUGACUGCAUCGCUGGAGUGCGGCAGAGGGGGAUGGAAUUCCGCGUGUAGCAGUGAAAUGCGUAGAUAUGCGGAGGAACACCGAUGGCGAAGGCAAUCCCCUGGGCCUGCACUGACGCUCAUGCACGAAAGCCAGGGGAGCAAACAGG